GUCAACAUGCCCAGGGGACGUGGAUAACCUCGGGAAACUGAGGAUAAACCGCGAUAAGUCACUACUUCUGGAAUGGGUAAUGACUCAAAUCUACAUGGCCCCUGGAUUGGACUGCGGCCGAUCAGGCUGUUGGUGAGGUAAUGGCCCACCAAACCUGUAACCGGUACGGGCUCUGAGAGGAGGAGCCCGGAGAUGGGCACUGAGACAAGGGCCCAGGCCCUAUGGGGCGCAGCAGGCGCGAAACCUCUGCAAUAGGCGAAAGCCUGACAGGGUUACUCUGAGUGAUUUCCGUUAAGGAGAUCUUUUGGCACCUCUAAAAAUGGUGCAGAAUAAGGGGUGGGCAAGUCUGGUGUCAGCCGCCGCGGUAAUACCAGCACCCCGAGUGGUCGGGACGUUUAUUGGGCCUAAAGCAUCCGUAGCCGGUUCUACAAGUCUUCCGUUAAAUCCACCUGCUUAACAGAUGGGCUGCGGAAGAUACUAUAGAGCUAGGAGGCGGGAGAGGCAAGCGGUACUCGAUGGGUAGGGGUAAAAUCCGUUGAUCCAUUGAAGACCACCAGUGGCGAAGGCGGCUUGCCAGAACGCGCUCGACGGUGAGGGAUGAAAGCUGGGGGAGCAAACCGGAUUAGAUACCCGGGUAGUCCCAGCUGUAAACGAUGCAGACUCGGUGAUGAGUUGGCUUCUUGCCAACUCAGUGCCGCAGGGAAGCCGUUAAGUUUGCCGCCUGGGGAGUACGGUCGCAAGACUGAAACUUAAAGGAAUUGGCGGGGGAGCACCACAAGGGGUGAAGCCUGCGGUUCAAUUGGAGUCAACGCCGGAAAUCUUACCGGGGGCGACAGCAGAAUGAAGGUCAAGCUGAAGACUUUACCAGACAAGCUGAGAGGAGGUGCAUGGCCGUCGCCAGCUCGUGCCGUGAGGUGUCCUGUUAAGUCAGGUAACGAGCGAGACCCCUGCCUCUAGUUGCUACCAUUAUUCUCAGGAGUAGUGGAGCUAAUUAGAGGGACUGCCGUCGCUGAGACGGAGGAAGGAGGGGGCUACGGCAGGUCAGUAUGCCCCGAAACCCUCGGGCCACACGCGGGCUGCAAUGGUAAGGACAAUGAGUAUCGAUUCCGAAAGGAGGAGGCAAUCUCUAAACCUUACCACAGUUAUGAUUGAGGGCUGAAACUCGCCCUCAUGAAUAUGGAAUCCCUAGUAACCGCGUGUCACUAUCGCGCGGUGAAUACGUCCCUGCUCCUUGCACACACCGCCCGUCGCUUCAUCGAAGUUGGUUCUUGGCGAGGUGAUGCCUAAUUGGUACUAUCGAACCUGGGGUCAGCAACGAGGGAGAAGUCGUAACAAGGUGGCCGUAGGGGAACCUGCGGCCGGAUCACCUCCU
rnacentral:rRNA from 1 species